rnacentral:rRNA from 1 species
UCUCGGCAAAUUAUCCUCAUAAGUUCGACAAGAAGAGGAACCAUGAAUUUAGUAAGUUAAUAUCUCCUAUUAAUUUAUUUAUAUGGUGGCACAAAAUCGGAAGCCCCGACUGUUUACUAAAAACACAACUAUCUGCAAUUAUGAAAAUAAUAGUAUAGGUAGUGAGAUUUGCCCAAUGCCAAAUUAAUAAGUAAUAAUAAUAGGUAACUGUUUCUUUACGAAAAAUUGGUUAAUAGCGGUCUUAACUAUGAGGAUCCUAAGGUAGCAAAAUAAAUUGGCCAUUAAAUGUGGUCCAGUAUCAAUAAUUUAACGAUGGCUUCACUGUCUCUACAACUUGCUCAGUGAAAUUGAAUUACCCGUGCAGAUGCGGGUUACCUCAAAGAGGACGGGAAGACCCUAUGCAGCUUCUACUGA